rnacentral:rRNA from 1 species
UACGGAGGGGGCUAGCGUUGUUCGGAAUUACUGGGCGUAAAGCGCACGUAGGCGGACUGUUAAGUCGGGGGUGAAAUCCUGGGGCUCAACCUCAGAAUUGCCUCCGAUACUGGCAGUCUCGAGUGCGGGAGAGGUGAGUGGAAUUCCCAGUGUAGAGGUGAAAUUCGUAGAUAUUGGGAAGGACACCAGUGGCGAAGGCGGCUCACUGGCCCGUAACUGACGCUGAGGUGCGAAAGCGUGGGGAGCAAACAGG